CGCCAAAAUAAAAGCAAGCGCGGCGAGGGUGGCAGCAUCUAAAGCGGCGAUUGCCGCUAACGGUAUCGCCCAUCUAACGGCGCAGGCUCCCGGAUUAUAUCUGCCAAACAACAACGUUUCAUUUUAUUGAUAAGUUGCAAAGAGGAACGGCGUUUCUAUCAUCUAACGCGAACGAACGCAUGUAACGCGGCUGGCAUUUCAAUCUGUCUCUCUUCACGGAUGUUGUACAAGAGGUCAGCAGUGAAAGGUACCGCGGUACGACUGUUGGCUUUUCCACUGCUUAUUAUCUGUUCGCGAAGAAGGGACGCUUUAAAAAUACUAAUUCCAAAUGAUUCACGAAUUCGAACGGAGGAGUCCCAGAUCACGUUCAAGGAAGUCUCCAUCGCAUAACGCAGAGACAGGAAGUAUUUAUUUCCGAUUCGACGAGUGGUAUGCAUUAUAACGUCCGUUUCUGAGUGAAACGUUUCCCUCUUCGCGAGGGCUGAUUCACAUUUCAACCGGCGACUUUCACUGUCGGCGUACAAACGAGCUACGAUCACUGGUAAAUGCCUCCAAUCAACGACGAUCGUCUUCCAACUUUCAUCUCCAGCCGAUGAUCGUCGUUGUUAUGACAAAUCAAGGAUGUCAAUGUUCUUCAACUAGGUCAGCAGUACCGGAUAAGUAUUUUAUAGAUAUAGCUGCGUCGACCUCAACCGCUGUGUCGUUCCUCCAUUGUCAAACGGUGUCAUUGCCAAAUAACUUUAUGUAUUGUUCCAAUACAAGUCGAAAAAGGGGCUUAUCUGCAUUCACGAUCGCACUAGUUUCUCGAAUAAAUCUUACGGUCGAGGAGAAAAUCACGGAGAGAGUAUACUGGACGAUUUAAGAAGAAUUUUAGGUUAUCCGGAAACGUCGGAGAAGAGCGUUGUCGUCUUCGUUACUAGAAACUUUAAGUCAAAUGAGAAUCUAGCCCACCUUUGACGUGACCAAUCAUCGUGAAGGCGUUGGCCAACCGGUAAAUCGGCCGCUGAUAUAACGGUCUAUUCUACAUGGUUACUUGAACGAUAUCUCAUAGGUACGCAAAGCCAGCAAUUUACGCGAAAUAAGGGGUUUUCUCUUUAACAUUCAUACUCUGCACUGUAACGACGCGUUUCGAGGAACGGGUAAUCAGUCGUUCGCGGUGAUUUGAUCAUCAGCGUGACUUGUUUGUUUCAGAAUUAUUGUUUUAUAUAUACAUUUCGCAACCGUGAUUCUCGCGGGCAAGUAGAUUUCUACUCGCGGAAAAACGGGAAUCGCGGUUGAAAGUCGCUUAAUCCUCGAAUGCCAGAGGAGAAAUUAUCUUGUUCUUCCGAAGCAUUGUAAAAUUGAUACGUAAUUUAAUUCAACAGAUACAUACGCGACCACCAUUCCAUCCCAAUGUUGUUCCUGUCCUGGAUUUAAUUGCAUUCAAACCAGUGAACAAUAAACUCUGUCGCAACAGGAGCGUGCUAAGCGAAACGAUUGCGUCACUUCCUGACCCGUUGGCCCCGGUGCAUCGCUGUAAUUUGCAACCGCGCUACGCUGAUAAGGUAUUACGCGAAGAUUACAGCAACAGUCCACGGGAAUGUCCAGCCGAGUUAUACUUUCUAAACCAAUGUUCAACGUCACGGUGAAUUUUUGCUUUUGUCUUUUGCACGGUCGAUUGCGCAACCCGGUGAUUUACAGCCAACCUCGCAGUUAUUUACCUGAGACUACUUGCAUCCAGGCACACAGGUAGAAGACAGUUGUGCUCUGACAGAAGAAGAACAGGAGCAUCGCGCAGAUCGUCAAGAGAGCGAUUAUCACAGCGAUCCCGACCAAGAUCGUGCUCACCUU